AGCUAUUCUAGGGUUGCUGCCGGUCCCAAGCCCGGGUAAAGGAGGAGGGUUGGGCAUAGGGCUAGCAUCCUUAUCCCGUAA
rnacentral:precursor_RNA from 1 species